rnacentral:ncRNA from 1 species
ACAAAUUAAAGGCAAAGCCAUUGAAAAAUGGCAACGCAAAGCUACAGGGGCCUCCGUGAACCCACAAGGCCAGCCAGCUGCCAUC